UACGUAGGGUGCGAGCGUUGUCCGGAAUUAUUGGGCGUAAAGGGCUCGUAGGCGGUCUGUCGCGUCGGGAGUGAAAACUCAGGGCUUAACCCUGAGCCUGCUUCCGAUACGGGCAGACUAGAGUGAUGUAGGGGAGACUGGAAUUCCUGGUGUAGCGGUGAAAUGCGCAGAUAUCAGGAGGAACACCGGUGGCGAAGGCGGGUCUCUGGGAAACAACUGACGCUGAGGAACGAAAGCGUGGGUAGCAAACAGG
rnacentral:rRNA from 1 species